rnacentral:rRNA from 1 species
UUUUKGGUUCCGGGGGGAGUAUUGUCGCAAGGCUGAAACUUAAAGGAAUUGACGGAAGGGCACCACCAGGAGUGGGACUGCGGCUUAAUUUGACUCAACACGGGAAACUCACCAGGUCCAGACACAAUAAGGAUUGACAGAUUGAGAGCUCUUUCUUGAUUUUGUGGGUGGUGGUGCAUGGCCGUUCUUAGUUGGUGGAGUGAUUUGUCUGCUUAAUUGCGAUAACGAACGAGACCUUAACCUACUAAAUAGCUCGAUCAGCUUUGGCUGAUUAUUAGCUUCUUAGAGGGACUAUCGUUUUCAAGACGAUGGAAGUUUGAGGCAAUAACAGGUCUGUGAUGCCCUUAGACGUUCUGGGCCGCACGCGCGCUACACUGACGGAGCCAACGAGUACAUAACCUUGGCCGAGAGGCUUGGGUAAUCUUGUUAAACUCCGUCGUGCUGGGGAUAGAGCAWUGCAAUUAUUGCUCUUCAACGAGGAAUUCCCAGCAUGCCGCGGUGAAUACGUUCCCGGGCCU